UUCCGGUUGAUCCUGCCGGAGGCGACCGCUAUUGGAGUUCGAUUAAGCCAUGCGAGUCGCGAGUCCUAGGGACUCGGCGUACCGCUCAGUAACACGUGGGUAACCUGCCCUAUGCUGGGGGAUAACCUCGGGAAACUGAGAAUAAUACCCCAUAGUUCACCACGCCUGGAACGGUGGGUGGAUGAAAGCUCCGGCGGCAUAGGAUGGGCCUGCGGCGUAUCAGGUUGUAGGGGGUGUAAUGUACCCUCUAGCCCUCUACGCGUACGGGUGUUGAGAGACAUCGCCCGGAGAUGGAUUCUGAGACACGAAUCCAGACCCUACGGGGUGCAGCAGGCGCGAAAACUUGGCAAUGCGAGAAAUCGUGACCAGGGAACUCCAAGUGCAUCGGGUAAGACCGAUGCUUUUCUUGACUCUUCAAAGGUCUUGGAAUAAGGGGUGGGUAAGGACGGUGCCAGCCGCCGCGGUAAUACCGGCGCCUCAAGUGGUAGUCGCUUUUAUUGGGCCUAAAACGUCCGUAGCCGGUCUGAUACAUUCGUGGGUAAAUCAACUAGCUCAACUAGUUGAAUUCUGCGAGGACGGUCAGACUUGGGACCGGGAGAGGUGUGGGGUACGCUCAGGGUAGGGGUAAAAUCCUGUCAUCCUAAGCGGACCACCUGUUGCGAAGGCGCCACACUAGAACGGAUCCGACGGUCAGGGACGAAGCCUAGGGGCACGAACCGGAUUAGAUACCCGGGUAGUCCUAGGUGUAAACGCUGUGGACUUGAUGUUGGGGGCGCUCCGAGCGCUUCCAGUGUCGAAGCGAAGGUGAUAAGUCCACUGCCUGGGAAGUACGGUCGCAAGGCUGAAACUUAAAGGAAUUGGCGGGGGAGCACCGCAACCUGAGGAUUGUGCGGUUUAAUUGGAUUCAACGCCGG
rnacentral:rRNA from 1 species